rnacentral:rRNA from 1 species
GAUGAACGUUAGCGGGAGGCUUAAUACAUGCAAGUCGAGCGGUAAGUUUUUAUAGCAAUAUGAAGACCUAGAGCGGCGCACGGGUGAGUAACGCGUACACGACCUGGCCUAAACUGGGGGAUAGCCUUGGGAAACUGAGAGUAAUCCCGCAUGUGAUUAUGUUACUGAUGGUGAUAUAAUUAAAGCUUCGGCGGUUUAGGAUGGGUGUGCGUCUGAUUAGCUAGUUGGUAGUGUAACGGACUACCAAGGCGAUGAUCAGUAGGGGGCGUGAGAGCGUGACCCCCCACACGGGUACUGAGACACGGACCCGACUCCUACGGGAGGCAGCAGUAAGGAAUAUUGGUCAAUGCCCGGAAGGGUGAACCAGCCAUCCCGCGUGAAGGAUGAAGGGGCUCUGCCUUGUAAACUUCUUUUGUAUGGGGCGAAAAAGGGGAUUUAUCCUCGACUGACGGUACCAUAAGAAUAAGCACCGGCUAACUCCGUGCCAGCAGCCGCGGUAAAAUCACGGGUUA